rnacentral:rRNA from 1 species
UUCGUAGGCGGUGUGGCAAGUUGGGAGUGAAAUCUCUAGGCUCAACCUAGAGGCUGCUUCCAAAACUGCUGUGCUUGAGUGUGGGAGAGGCGCGUGGAAUUGCAGGUGUAGCGGUGAAAUGCGUAGAUAUCUGCAGGAACACCCGUGGCGAAAGCGGCGCGCUGGACCACUACUGACGCUGAGGAACGAAAGCUAGGGGAGCAAACA